rnacentral:lncRNA from 1 species
AAACUAACAGCCUAAUUAUACAUAACGAAACAAUUUCCAAAAUAUCAAAUAUGAGUCGAGACAUGAACCAACGGCAACCACUAGACUACAGCUCCUGACUGGACAGGUAAAAAUAUGGCAGGGUUUGCUAUAGAAACGAAGAUGUGGUAUGAUUGCAAAUGAGACAACUCUCCACAAGAGACCAAAUGACACAGAAAUCAACAGCUAUAAGUCACCGUACGGCCUUCUACAAUAAUAUAAGCCUACAUCGCAUAGUCAGCUAUAAAAGGCCCCGAAAUCACAAAUGUAAAACAAUUCAAUCGAGAAAACUAACGGCCGAAUUAAUGUACAAGAAAAUGAACGAACACAAAUAUGUAUAACAAAGCAACAAACGGCAACCACUGAAUCACAGGCUCCUGACUUGGGACAAGCACAUACAUACAGAAUGUGGCGGGGUUAAUGUUAGCGGGAUCCCAAAUCCCCCCCC